rnacentral:rRNA from 1 species
CCUACGGGGGGCUGCAGUAGGGAAUCUUCCGCAAUGGACGAAAGUCUGACGGAGCAACGCCGCGUGAGUGAUGAAGGCUUUCGGGUCGUAAAACUCUGUUGUUAGGGAAGAACAAGUGCUAGUUGAAUAAGCUGGCACCUUGACGGUACCUAACCAGAAAGCCACGGCUAACUACGUGCCAGCAGCCGCGGUAAUACGUAGGUGGCAAGCGUUAUCCGGAAUUAUUGGGCGUAAAGCGCGCGCAGGUGGUUUCUUAAGUCUGAUGUGAAAGCCCACGGCUCAACCGUGGAGGGUCAUUGGAAACUGGGAGACUUGAGUGCAGAAGAGGAAAGUGGAAUUCCAUGUGUAGCGGUGAAAUGCGUAGAGAUAUGGAGGAACACCAGUGGCGAAGGCGACUUUCUGGUCUGUAACUGACACUGAGGCGCGAAAGCGUGGGGAGCAAACAGGAUUAGAUACCCCUGUAGUC